rnacentral:lncRNA from 1 species
AGAAAUAAAAAAAAAGAACGAGAGAAAAAAAAAAGAGGAAAGAGAAAAAGGUAUAAGGGUAUUUUGGUCAGUUUGCUGAAAAAUCGGACUGAAUCUGCAAAAACGAAAAAGGUGGCCCACUUUUGCAAAAGCCCAAAAUAAGUGAAUUUUUUAUGCAAAUUGGCCUAUAAUCAAUAAUGUUGAUGGGGCAUUUCGUUUGGCGUAAAACAAAUGGAAAAAUUAUUUUCGGCUUGAAAAAUAUUUUUUCUUUUGUUUGGUUUGUGUCGGAUGUUGGCGCUAACCAUUAAUUCCAAAAGCUCAAGUUGUUAGAAAGAUACAACCAAGUUAUUUAAAGCGUACAUAUACAACACUUACAGGUCUCGCCUCACGCUAUUUCGAACAUGACUCGGCCACAUGGCAGGAUGUUGAUCCAUUUAAAAGCCAACAAUCUCCUCUCCAGCACCUGGACACGUCAUUUCGAACAUGAUUCGGCCCAACAUGGCCUCCCGCCCCUAUUUCGAAUAUGACUCGGCACAAUAUAGCCUAGGGCAAGAUGUUGGCCCAUUUAAAAGCCAACAAAACAAAUUCGUGACCUUCGGCUCUGAUACCACUUGUCGGAUCGUUGGCGCUAACCAUUAAUCCCAAAAGCUCGAGUUGUUAUAAAGAUACAACCAAUUCAUUUAAAAUGUAAAAGUACAGUGCCCACGGGUCUCGAUUGUGACUCGGUCAAACUAGCCUCACACCGCUUCGAACAUGACUCGGCCCAUCCAACCUCAUGCCAUUUCGAACAUGAUUCGACCCAACAUGACCUCCCGCCACAUAGUAGAAUGCUGGCUCAUUUAAGCCAACAGUUUGAUGUGAAAAUAUUCUCCGUAAAAAUUAAAGUUUUCAUUUUUCUUUAUUUUUCAGCGAAAAAUAAAAAUUCAAACUGCGUAAACUUUUUUUCAUUCAUCUUUUUUACCAAUCCAAAUAAAUAUAUAUAUUUUUUCUUUCAACCAAAUAAAUAUUAAUAAAAAAUUAUUAUUAUUUUUAUAUAUUAAAUACUAUAAAACGUAAAAGAAAUUUGUACAAAAAA